rnacentral:rRNA from 1 species
GAGCGAACGCUGGCGGUCGGCCUAACACAUGCAAGUCGAACGGCAGCACAGUAAGAGCUUGCUCUUACGGGUGGCGAGUGGCGGACGGGUGAGGAAUACAUCGGAAUCUACUUUUUCGUGGGGGAUAACGUAGGGAAACUUACGCUAAUACCGCAUACGACCUACGGGUGAAAGCAGGGGAUCUUCGGACCUUGCGCGAUUGAAUGAGCCGAUGUCGGAUUAGCUAGUUGGCGGGGUAAAGGCCCACCAAGGCGACGAUCCGUAGCUGGUCUGAGAGGAUGAUCAGCCACACUGGAACUGAGACACGGUCCAGACUCCGACGGGAGGCAGCAGUGGGGAAUAUUGGACAAUGGGCGCAAGCCUGAUCCAGCCAUACCGCGUGGGUGAAGAAGGCCUUCGGGUUGUAAAGCCCUUUUGUUGGGAAAGAAAAGCAGCAGGUUAAUACCCCGCUGUUCUGACGGUACCCAAAGAAUAAACACCGGCGAACUUCGG